ensembl:lncRNA
GUUCGUGUGGGGGCCGGGUUCGUGUGGGGGCCGGGGCUCUGUGGGGACCGGGGCAGUUUCCUGAGCGGAGUGGUGACCAAAGCCAGAGGCUGUGGCCACUCGGGCAGUGCCGGCGGGACACCCUUCGCCUCGGUUUUGUGGGACAUCCUUCACCUUCCCGAUGGCAGAGUUGCAGCAGCUCAUCCUGGAAGCGCUGUCCAGGCUGCAGGACCAGCCUCACCGAGCCUCUCGGGAGCCCAAGGGUGUCCCUGCUGCCCUGGUGGCCCCCUCCUCUUGACCCCGUACAACCUAUGCACACUUGUGUCCCAUUGCUGGACUGACAUCUUUGGUUGUUCCUGGACAAACCCUAGCGGGGAAACUGGUGACUCCCUCUCUCUGUGAUGUGCAAAGAAGUGUCUCUGCUCAUCACGCAUUUCUCUCCUGGGUUGUGCUCUUCACGACGGGUCUGCCCUACUUCCCUGGAGGAGUGUUUAUCCAGCUAAAGGAUUAGUGUGUCUGCAGUAUCACAGAGGGAGCAGCAGCAAGACUGAGACAAUGCCUUCCCCAAGACAAUGCCUGGGAAAGUUGUGCCUGCAGCUGCCUGUGGAGAGAGCUGCUGCCACACUCUUGUCCUGUUGCUGGCUGCCACGAAGAAAAGCCUAACCCACACCUGGUUCCACCCUCUUGUCAGCAAGUUGUGAAGACCAAGAAGGUCCUCUCUUGAGCCUCCUUUUUUCCAGGCUGAGCCCCCCCAGCUCCCUCAGCUGCUCCUUAUCAGACACCUGCUCCAGAUCCUUCACCAGCUUCAUUGCUCUUCUCUGGACUAAUUCAGCACCAAAAUGUCCUUCCUGAACUGAGUGGCCCAGAACUGCACGCAGAACUUAAAGUGCUGCUUCACUAGCGCUAAGCUCAGCACAAGAAUCACCUCCCUGCUCCUGCUGGCCACACCUUGGCUGUUGCAGGCUGUUGACCUUCUUGGCCUGAGCACUCCUGGCCUCACGUUCAGCCGCUGUUGACUGUCGCAGCGCGCACCAUGGAGGAGGUUAGGGAAGGGCUUUGGCAAAUAGGCAACUGGGAAAAGGAGGGGAUUAGGGAGGGGAACGGGGGCAAACAUGGAUUCAAAGCAAAACACACCACAACACCCCUCCCUCCCAAUUGUUAUAAAUUUGAAAUUUAGGAGCCUCAGAUAAAGAUAUGGGAGCAGGAAUAACAUUUUGUUAUUAGGAAAGGAAAUAAAAUAAUGCAGUAAUACAAAACAACACUGACAGAGUCAGAAUAGGACCUGACACCCUGUGGGUCAGGGUCUUGAUAGCAGCCUAAUUGAAAUGGUGGCUACAGUCCUCUUGGAGUUACAGAUGUGGUUCUGUUGAAGCAGUGAUCCUGUAGAAAGAUGUAGCUUUCCUCUGAAGAUCCAGUGGUGGUGUAGAUGGGCCUAGUGUUCCUCUGGGAAUUCAGUAGAAAAGGCUGCUGUUCCUCUGGGAAUGUAGUGGAAAAGGCUAACUGUGGUCUUCCAGAUUUCAGAUUAUAUCUAAUUUGCAACGCUUGGCUCCUCCACCGGGCAGAGCAUCUCACAAUGGGAUGCUAUCAUUUUUAUCAGUCAUGCAGUGACACUCAAUAACCCAUUAACAGCAGCUGGCUCCCUGGAGGGAGGAUGGGUUGUGGAAGAAAUAAAAAAACCUGCUCAAUUAACAGAAGAUAACUGCCCCACCAGAUAGGAAUAGAAUAUACCCACCAUUUCCAACCCAAGAGAAAUAGAAAUAAUAUUAGUGUAAGAAGCUUUUCUGCUGCUUUGCACAUGCCACUAGUCCCAGUCACAGGUGAUUCCCUCCCUUCAUGAUAGAACACAGCAGGUCUUCUACAGUCCUCCUUAUCCUCAUUAUUUGAAGACUGAGGGAAGUCUUCAAAUAUUACUUGUAUGUUUAUCAUCCUUUAACCUAAUAUAAAUGUACAUGGAGAAAAAUGUGCUUUUAUAAAUCUUCUUUUAGAAAUAUACAAAAAUACCAAUGUUAUAAGCAAGUUCAUAUCCACAGGGAAUUUCAUAUACAUACAAAAAUAAAGUGGUGUGUGAGCUGACACACACCUGGA